rnacentral:rRNA from 1 species
AACGAACGCUGGCGGCAUGCCUUACACAUGCAAGUCGAACGGCAGCACGGGAGCAAUCCUGGUGGCGAGUGGCGAACGGGUGAGUAAUAUAUCGGAACGUGCCCAGUCGUGGGGGAUAACGCAGCGAAAGCUGUGCUAAUACCGCAUACGAUCUAUGGAUGAAAGCGGGGGAUCGCGAGACCUCGCGCGAUUGGAGCGGCCGAUAUCAGAUUAGCUAGUUGGUGAGGUAAAGGCUCACCAAGGCGACGAUCUGUAGCUGGUCUGAGAGGACGACCAGCCACACUGGAACUGAGACACGGUCCAGACUCCUACGGGAGGCAGCAGUGGGGAAUUUUGGACAAUGGGCGAAAGCCUGAUCCAGCAAUGCCGCGUGCAGGAUGAAGGCCUUCGGGUUGUAAACUGCUUUUGUACGGAACGAAACGGUGAGCUCUAAUACAGUUUGCUAAUGACGGUACCGCAAGAAUAAGCACCGGCUAACUACGUGCCAGCCGCCGCGGUAAAAC